rnacentral:tRNA from 1 species
GUGGGGGUGGCAGAUGAAUGCGAUCGACUUAAGCUCGAUGUAUGGGUUAGUAGCCCUCCCCACU